rnacentral:rRNA from 1 species
UUGGGCCUACGGGGGGCAGCAGUGGGGAAUAUUGCACAAUGGGGGAAACCCUGAUGCAGCGACGCCGCGUGAGCGAAGAAGGGUUUCGGCUCGUAAAGCUCUGUUGGUAGUGAAGAAAGAUAGAGGUAGUAACUGGCCUUUAUUUUACGGUAAUUACUUAGAAAGUCACGGCUAACUACGUGCCAGCAGCCGCGGUAAUACGUAGGUGGCAAGCGUUGUCCGGAUUUAUUG